UCCUUGGAGGCCUAGCAGUUAAAGUCUCAGCAUUGUCACUGCUGUGUCUCAGGUUCAAUCCCCGGCCUGGGAA
rnacentral:tRNA from 1 species